ensembl:snRNA U6 U6 spliceosomal RNA
GUGCUCGGUUCAGGAGCACAUGUACUAAAAUUGGAAUGAUACAGAGAAGAUUAGCAUGGCCCCUGAGCAAAGACGACACGCAAAUUUGUGAAUGUUCCAUAUUUCA